GACGAACGCUGGCGGCGUGCUUAACACAUGCAAGUCGAACGGAAAGGCCCUGCUUUUGUGGGGUGCUCGAGUGGCGAACGGGUGAGUAACACGUGAGUAACCUGCCCUUGACUUUGGGAUAACUUCAGGAAACUGGGGCUAAUACCGGAUAGGAGCUCCUGCUGCAUGGUGGGGGUUGGAAAGUUUCGGCGGUUGGGGAUGGACUCGCGGCUUAUCAGCUUGUUGGUGGGGUAGUGGCUUACCAAGGCUUUGACGGGUAGCCGGCCUGAGAGGGUGACCGGCGAGAGGAGAACGGAGAACGGCGCACUGCGCGGGAGGGAGGCAGGAGUGGGGAAAGUGGCACGGCGGGCGGAAGCGGGGGCGAGGGACGCCGGGGGGGGGAUGGCGGGCUGGGGUUGGUACACCGCGUGGGUGGUGGAAGAGGCGUGGGGGACGGGAAGGAGAAAAGACGCACCGGGUAACUGCGUGCCAGCAGCCGAGGUAAGAGGGGGAAGAGCACCCAUCCGAAC
rnacentral:rRNA from 1 species